GAUGAACGCUAGCGGCAGGCUUAACACAUGCAAGUCGAGGGGUAACAGGGAAGAGCUUGCUUUUCCGCUGACGACCGGCGCACGGGUGAGUAACGCGUAUAGAACCUACCUUUUACAGGGGAAUAGCCCAGAGAAAUUUGGAUUAAUGCCCUAUAGUAUUAUUGAAUGGCAUCAUUUAGUAAUUAAACAUUUAUGGGUAAAAGAUGGCUAUGCGUUCUAUUAGCUAGAUGGUAAGGUAACGGCUUACCAUGGCAACGAUAGAUAGGGGUCCUGAGAGGGAGAUCCCCCACACUGGUACUGAGACACGGACCAGACUCCUACGGGAGGCAGCAGUGAGGAAUAUUGGACAAUGGAGGCAACUCUGAUCCAGCCAUGCCGCGUGCAGGAAGACGGCCCUAUGGGUUGUAAACUGCUUUUAUACGGGAAGAAACCCAACUACGUGUAGUUGGCUGACGGUACCGUAAGAAUAAGCACCGGCUAACUCCGUGCCAGCAGCCGCGGUAAUACGGAGGGUGCAAGCGUUAUCCGGAAUCAUUGGGUUUAAAGGGUCCGUAGGCGGGCUAAUAAGUCAGGGGUGAAAUCCAACAGCUUAACUGUUGAACUGCCUUUGAUACUGUUAGUCUUGAAUUAUAUGGAAGUAGAUAGAAUGUGUAGUGUAGCGGUGAAAUGCUUAGAGAUUACACAGAAUACCGAUUGCGA
rnacentral:rRNA from 1 species